rnacentral:pre_miRNA from 2 species
GCCUGUCCUGGGGGGUGCGCUGGAUCUUGGACUGUGCCCCCAGCACCCUGUGCUCCCGGGCCUGUGCUGUUGGAAUCGUAGUCCCGGCCACACAGCUCCCUCUGCCCACAGCC